UAGAAAUGUUAACCUACCUGGAGCUAAAAUGUUUUUAUUUUCAUAAGUGAGCAGAAAUCUAUAUUGUGAGGCUGAAGAAUGUUUGGUUCACUAACUAGUCAUUCAAAUACUAAAAUGAGUGUGGACAGAGGCCUUGCUAUUGAACUGGCUGAUUUAAGCCUGAAGAAGCCAGAUGAAUCUGCUUCACUGGGACAGAGUUACAUGGGGAAUGAGUCCAUGUGUCCUCAGUUAACCCUGAAAGAGAAACACAGGUUGAUUAAUCGUGAGGACUCUGACUUCUCUCUGCCCAGCAAUUUGUCAAUGAAAAGAGAGCAGUCAAUGCGUAAUCCUUUCAACUACAGCGGAGAAGCAAUCCCUACAGAACUGAAAAUGUUUUUUUUUUUUUUAUUCUGUGGAACACCAAAGAAGACAUUCUGAAGAAUGUUUAAACUGCAAGUCUUUUCAACACAACAAAAGCAGACAGAAACCAGCCCAGUCUCCUAAAAAAAAAAAAAAAAAAAAAGGAGAAAACUUUUUAACAAGUUGGUGAUUUUGUAUCAGUCUGUAUAACUUGAUUCAUAAAAAUAUGUAUUAUUUAAAAAAAAUAAAUAAGUAAAUACAAUAAACAUGAAAAUCAACUUAUAAACCUAAUACUCAGUAGUGGGGUAUAAGCAGAUCAUACCAACAAAAAAAAAAAUGUUUGAAUGAGUUCA